GAUGAACGCUGGCGGCGUGCCUAAUACAUGCAAGUCGAGCGAACAGACGAGGAGCUUGCUCCUCUGACGUUAGCGGCGGACGGGUGAGUAACACGUGGAUAACCUACCUAUAAGACUGGGAUAACUUCGGGAAACCGGAGCUAAUACCGGAUAAUAUAUUGAACCGCAUGGUUCAAUAGUGAAAGACGGUUUUGCUGCCACUUAUAGAUGGAUCCGCGCCGCAUUAGCUAGUUGGUAAGGUAACGGCUUACCAAGGCAACGAUGCGUAGCCGACCUGAGAGGGUGAUCGGCCACACUGGAACUGAGACACGGUCCAGACUCCUACGGGAGGCAGCAGUAGGGAAUCUUCCGCAAAGGGCGAAAGCCUGACGGAGCAACGCCGCGUGAGUGAUGAAGGUCUUCGGAUCGUAAAACUCUGUUAUUAGGGAAGAACAAAUGUGUAAGUAACUAUGCACGUCUUGACGGUACCUAAUCAGAAAGCCACGGCUAACUACGUG
rnacentral:rRNA from 1 species